AAGUCGGCAAAACGGAUCCGUAACCUUGGGAUAAGGAUUGGCUCUGAGGACUGAGCCGGUCGGGCUGGGGACCUGAAGCAGGAACGGCACUGCACCGGGACUGGGCGGGGCUCGCCGUUCACGCGGCGCGGCCAAGCCCGGACCAGCGUCGGGACCUUCCUGUGGAAAGCCUCAGCUGCGCGGCGUCUGAGGGCUUCGUGCCCAAAGUGCUAUGCUUCGGCCGGCAAAAAACAGUCAACUCAGAACUGGCACGGACCGGGGGAAUCUGACUGUCUAAUUAAAACAAAGCAUUGCGAUGGCCGCUGGUCGGUGUUGACGCAAUGUGAUUUCUGCCCAGUGCUCUGAAUGUCAACGUGAAGAGAUUCAUCAAAGCGCGGGUAAACGGCGGGAGUAACUAUGACUCUCUUCAGGUCCCCAGCCCAACUGUUCACCUGAGUGGGCUGAUGCUGCUG
rnacentral:rRNA from 1 species